rnacentral:lncRNA from 1 species
AUGGAGAAGAUGCUCUGCAGUCCGCAUCCUGGGACAAAUAAAACGAACUCUGCUUCACUGCCGUCGGACAAGGGGAAUUCGGCGAGACAGAUCGGACGAGCUGGUUCUCAUAGCCCCGGCUCGGCUUCACUUGGGAGCGGGGCCGGUGGAGGAGUGAGUCGGGGAGGUUUUUUAGGAAACAGUAUGAAUUUUAAGCAAGCGUGUAAGCGUCAGUUAGAAGGAGUGUUGAGCAAAUACACAAACUUAAUUCAAGGAUGGCAGAACAGGACCAGGACUAUAUCUGGGUUCAAUUAUAAAUCCUGCUCUUUGCUGACUUUGUCAGGGUUGAAAUACUGACCCAGGCACAAAGAUCCCCGUUGCACACAUGAAUCACAUUCUCUUGUGAUGGAGCGGGAGGUCGUGGGUGUGGGAUCCAUUUCCAGAUGGCACUACACUUUAUGGAAAUCCUGAGGAUUAAUGGGAAAAUGGCGAAUGUGAAGGACCCAGCUAUCAUUGCCCACAUUUAGAGUCCGAUGCACUGCAUACAUUCAAGGUAAUUAAGGUAAUGCAUAUUUGUGGACUGUUAAGGUCUCGUAAAGUUGACAAUUUUAUCACCAGCUUAAGUCAGAACAACAUUCCCUUUUGGGAAGCAUGCAAUGUGCACGCACACGAAAUGUAAUUGAACACCAGAGAUUUAGUUCAAGCUGUCUUGAGUGUUAAUGCAAAGGGGCCGGAGAAAUAUGACCAUUAUCACGGAUACAUCUUCUGCUGCAAGAUACAAAUUGCCCUAAUGAAACAACGUAUGAAUAGAUUCAAAUAGGCUGGUAUGCUAAAUGAGCCUCUAGAACAAAGCAACAAGCUCCAAGACCAGCUGAUGCAAGCUUGGAAUCCAGUAAAAUGAAUUACAUUUGCCAAAAUUAGAGAGCUAAGUACUCGUGCCUAUACAGAAAUAAAUUAAAUCAUUCAAAAUACUACACCAGAGAGCAUGAUUUGGCCACAGAGGAUAAUUAACUUUUUAAUUUUUAAAAAAUGAGAUGUGUGUUUUGUUUUAAGCGUGCAGUUAGGGAAAUGCGCAUGGCAAAUAGCUUAUCAAAAUAGAUCAAAUAUAAAAUCUUCCCUCAUGUGGCACUUUGGGGUGGACCCACCUGUCUCAAUCAAUGAAAGAAAUGGACAAGAUGGCGGUGAACACAUUGUUGGAUUGCUUCAUUGAGCAAAAAUGGAUUUAUUUUAAUACGAGUAAAAAAAAAAAAAAUUCUAACAAACCACCUGCAACUGGACAGAGACAUUUUAGAACAUCCAUGUUUGACCUGAAAUCAAGAACGAAGAUAGUAUCGGCAGGUUAAGGUUGGCCAAAUUCUCUGUCCUACGCCAAACAGCCAGCCGAUCUCACCCUCUUGCUUACAGCUGCAAUAGGGUUGGACAGCAUUCCUAUGUCGAUUAAGACACCACAGAGCCGGUGCGAGAUAUGGCUCGGAAAACAUACCUCAAUCCAGGGUUGCGAAACGCGUAGUACCCCAAAUUGUCCAAUUUUCCCAACUGUUACACCUUGUGCAGCUUGUAAGCAAGCGGCUCGAAUCUGUUGCCUAUACCAAACAGUACCUAUCCUGUAACGGCUAAUGGAACAUAACAUUAGCCAGUUACAUGGCAUUAGCCAUAUGCAAGCUAAGUUACUGCUAGUUAAUAAAGCUAACAACAUGUCUUCAUCAAGUAAGGUUAGCCUAUCAAAAAUGAACAAAUACUCCUCCAACACAUAAAUGUACAGUAGGCCUACCUUACAACAUUACAACAAACCAUGUUUCAUUUGAAUAAAUAUCAUGCAAAUCAUUAGGCUACAUGGGGUAUAAGAAAAUUGCCAUUGAAAAUGUGGGUAUAAUUCACCGGGAAGUUAAGAUGAGCUGUUUGAUAUGGAAGCCCAUUCCCGCCACCCAAGAAUAAAAUGCAUAUAUUCAUAAAGUAUUCAGAACCAUUGACUUUUUCCACAUUUUGUUAUGUUACAGCCUUAUUCUAAAAUGUAUUUAAAUUAAAGUUUUUCCUCGCCAAUCUACACACAAUACCCCAACAAAACAGAACUACCUUUACACAAGUAUUCAGACCCUUUGCUAUGAGACUCAAAAUUGAGCUCAGAUGCAUCCUGUUUCCACAACCUGAUUGGAGUCUAGCUGUGGUAAAUUCGAUUGAUUGGGCAUGAUUUGGAAAGGCACACACCUGUCUAUAUAAGGUCCCACAGUUGAU